rnacentral:rRNA from 1 species
UGGGGAAUAUUGGACAAUGGGCGCAAGCCUGAUCCAGCCAUGCCGCGUGUGUGAAGAAGGCCUUUUGGUUGUAAAGCACUUUAAGCGAGGAGGAGGCUACUUGGAUUAAUACUCUAAGAUAGUGGACGUUACUCGCAGAAUAAGCACCGGCUAACUCUGUGCCAGCAGCCGCGGUAAUACAGAGGGUGCGAGCGUUAAUCGGAUUUACUGGGCGUAAAGCGUGCGUAGGCGGCUUCUUAAGUCGGAUGUGAAAUCCCUGAGCUUAACUUAGGAAUUGCAGUCGAUACUGGGAAGCUAGAGUAUGGGAGAGGAUGGUAGAAUUCCAGGUGUAGCGGUGAAAUGCGUAGAGAUCUGGAGGAAUACCGAUGGCGAAGGCAGCCAUCUGGCCUAAUACUGACGCUGAGGUACGAAAGCAUGGGGAGCAAACAGG